rnacentral:rRNA from 1 species
GAUGAACGCUAGCGAUAGGCUUAACACAUGCAAGUCGAGGGGCAGCAUGGUCUUAGCUUGCUAAGACUGAUGGCGACCGGCGCACGGGUGCGUAACGCGUAUGCAACUUGCCUCACAGAGGGGGAUAACCCGUCGAAAGACGGACUAAUACCGCGUACACUUGGGAUAGGGCAUCCUGACCCAAGGAAAUGAAAUUCGCUGUGAGAUUGGCAUGCGUCCCAUUAGCUAGUUGGUGAGGUAACGGCUCACCAAGGCGACGAUGGGUAGGGGAACUGAGAGGUUGAACCCCCACACUGGUACUGAGACACGGACCAGACUCCUACGGGAGGCAGCAGUGAGGAAUAGUGGUCAAUGGGCGAGAGCCUGAACCAGCCAAGUCGCGUGAAGGAUGACUGUCUUAUGGAUUGUAAACUUCUUUUAUACGGGAAUAACAAGAGCCACGUGUGGCUCCCUGCAUGUACCGUAUGAAUAAGCAUCGGCUAACUCCGUG